CGCGAGGUGCAUCCCGAGCGCCCAGAGAGAAAUCCCUGCUGUCCAUCGAUGGACCGGCCGCCACCGGCAAUGUACCUCUCGCCGGAAUCAUACACCCAACUCCUUCUAAGCUUCUCCUCCAUCCCUGAUCUAGAUCCAAAUCGCGGUUGGACGCAACAAGAAGAACAAGAGGAGGGGGUGUUGCUGAUUUGGCCGGUAGCGGCGGCGAUUGGGCAAGCUGGAGUGAGACUGAACAUGAAUGCCAGUCCGACUCCUCCACACCAGAUCCAUCCGCACAGAGUGCCGAGGCCCACCGCCAAGUGAAUCGUGAGAACCAAGAUCUCCGGCGAGACUCGCCGCCGCGAGAUUUCGGCGGAGACACUUGGUCAGGAGAUGAUUCGUUGCAAUCUCCAAUCUCAGACAUUCAGGCAGAUAUUUCUUACCAGCAGGAAUAGGAAACCAACACUACAGACGUGCUGCAAUCAGAACGGUCUCCAAGUGACCAAUGUACAUGGAAAGGAAGGAUAUGUCGUGGGGAAAUACCAUAUCAGCAUCAGUCUAAAGAGGGAAGGGUUUGUGCGCUUGAAAAAGCAAUGCGUAGCUUUGUUGAACGGAAGUCUGGACAAGUGGUCGCCCCUGAGAUUGGAAGAGUAUUCGACUCAAUCGCAGAGGCAUUUGAGUUCUACAACCACUAUUCUUGGGAGAUUGGGUUUGGCAUCCGAUAUGGUCAAUCUAGGACAAAUGCACAGAAAAGCAGAACCGUUCAAGACAUCGUUUGUGGUUGUGCGGUUAGUAUAAAUAACCGAAAGUGUUGUGUUGGCUGCUAUCCUUGUUAUUCCACCAUACUAAUCUGUGCAUUUGUCCUAACGGGCCAAAGAAAGAAAACACGAAGUCAGUAGCAUGCAACUGCCAAGCAUUGAUCAGACUACACCGUACAGCGGAUAAUGGAUGGUAUAUACACGAUUUCAGACCUGAACACAACCACCAUUUGUCAUCAUCGUGCGGCAAGAAACUACAUUGGCCAUCACACAGGCACUUGAGGAGCAACAACAUUGGGAUAACCAAGGUUUUUUGUGUCAUCGCAAGCUUCUUUGGAUCAAUGGAGAGUGUACCAUUCAACAACAUAUCUCUCAAGUAUAUGUGCAAGAGGAUGAACUAAGAGACUGCAGAUGAUGACAUCAGGAAAACAGUUGAGCUCUUCUCUGAACUUAAGAAGAAUGACCCAAUGUUUGCUGACAGUGUCCUUGUUGACAGCCAUAGCAAAAUUCAGGCCCUUAUGUGGACCAAUGGAAGGAGUAGAUACCAAUACAAAAAUUUUGGAGAUUCUAUCACAUUCGACACCACAUAUCGUACAAACCAGUACGAUAUGCCAUUCGGUCUAUUUGUUGGUGUCAACCAUCAUUUCCAGAGCAUAAUAUUAGGAGGUGUUAUGAUGAGAAACGAGAAGCAAGAAUCAUUCGAGUGGGUAUUCAAGGAAUUUGUUUCAUUGAUGGGAGGUAAAGCACCUGUAACUAUCCUAACAGUAACUAUC